rnacentral:pre_miRNA from 1 species
UAUUAAAAAUUCAUUCAUUUUUAUUAUUAAAAAUUGGUGUAGCUAACUGAAUAAUCAGACAGUUAUGCGUGAUGUGCCACGUGUACUUCAUGCUGACAUAUGGAGAUUGGUUUUUAAUAGUAGAAAUGGAUGUAAUUUUUAAUA